GUUUUAUUGAUUAUAAUCUUAAGUCUAAUCUGCCCAAUGAUAAAUUAAAUGGCUGCAGUAUUUUGACUGUGCAAAGGUAGCAUAAUAAUUAGUUUCUUAAUUAGGGACUGGAAUGAAUGAUUUGACGAGAUAAUAGCUGUCUUAAUUUAAAUUUUAGAAUUUUAUUUUUAAGUAAAAAAGCUUAAAUAAUAUUAAAAGACGAGAAGACCCUAUAGAAUUUUAUAUAAGUUUAAUAUUUUAUUAGUAGAAAUUGAAUAAAAGGGGAUUAAGUAAAUAUUUAGUUGGGGUGAUUGAAAAAUUUGAUUAACUUUUUUUUAAUUUAAACAUUAAUAUAUGAAUAUAUGAUCCAAUUAUAUUGAUUAUAAGAUUUAAUUGCCUUAGGGAUAACAGCGUAAUUUUUUUAGAGAGUUAUGUUGAAUUAAAGUUAAUUUUUAAUGUAGGAGUUAAAAUAUUAGGUCUGUUCGACCUUUAAAACUUUACAUGAUCUGAGUUUAAACCGGUGUGAGCCAGGUUGGAUUCUAUCUUUAAUAAAAUUAAAUAUUUUAGUACGAAAGGACCAAGUAUUUAUUAUAAUAAUUAUUUUUGAAUAGUAUUAUUAUUUUGGCAGAUUAGUGCUUUAAAUUUAGAAUUUAAAUAUGUAAAUUAAUUACAAAUAAUAC
rnacentral:misc_RNA from 1 species